CCUCUCUAUCUCGCUCUCUCUCAUCUCCACCUCAAUCUCAAUCAGCGCCGAAACAGCACGGCACUAGAAAGAAAGAAAAAAAAAAAACGGAACAUUGAUUCGCGUCCGAGACAGUGACCGAUGCUCGCCAUUCCCUGCCCGACGUCUCCGCCGCCGGCACGCUGCGCCCCGCUCUUCCCGCUGUAAAAGCAGCUCCCCGCCGGGGCAGUCCGGUCGCCUUCUCCUUCCCCUUCCCCCCCCCACCCACCUACCUCCGGUCUGGACGGCAGUUUAUUCCCUGGAUCCUGGAUGAACGAUCGGAGAGUUGUGAACAAGUGUGAGAAGAACGCCGAGGCUCCACGAUCUGCGUCCCCCGCGCCGUCCACGGAAGCCGAGACUCAGCCAGAGUUGUGGACGACAAUGGAGGGGACGUCCCUGUAUCUUCCUAUUGUUAUUUUACUCAUGCAAUGUUCCCCUUCGGUUCCCGUAACCGUGUCAACCAACAGACCUAAGGUGGAGGUGGAGGAGUUCUCAGACGCAGAGCUGUCGUGCCGGUUCCACACGGAGACAGACCCGAACCCGCGCAUCGAGUGGAAGAAGAAGGCAAAAGAAGUCUCCUUCGUUUACUUCGACGGACGCUUCAGAGGUCCCUUCGAAGGCCGAGCCACCAUCGACGGGGCGACGGUGACCCUGCACAGAGUGACCCAGGAGGACGCCGGGGAGUACCGCUGCGAGAUCAGCGCGUCCCUGGACACGGUCAGCCUGGGCGAGACCAAUGUGACCCUCAACGUCUUGGUGCCCCCGCAAACCCCCACAUGCGAAGUCCCCGCCUCGGCCGUGACGGGCUCGGCGGUCCAGCUGCGCUGUCGGGACCAACAGAGCGUCCCGCCCGCCACGUACUCCUGGUUCAAGGACAACAAGCCAAUCAGCAAGCCCCGUCACGCCAACGCGACCUAUCUAAUCAACUCCCACACGGGAAUACUGGAGUUCAAAGCGGUCACCAAAGAGGACAGCGGUCGCUACAGCUGCCUGGCGUCCAACGGCGUGGGGUCGCCCAAAAUGUGUGAGGCCAAGCCCAUGACCAUAGAGGACGUGAACAUGACCGUCAUCCUGGGAUCCGUGGUGGUGGUCUUCCUGCUGCUGGUGGUGUGUGGCUGCGGCGGGAUGCUGUUGCAUCGUAACGGCUUGUUGACUCAAGGACACAGAGGGAGGUCGUUUUGGAUCUCCCAGUGUCACGGCGCGGCCCACAUCAGCAGCCAAACCCUACACAGAGCGGACGACACGUGAGUGAAACACGAGGACAAAUUUACAGCCAGAAGAGUUUAAAUCUCAUUACCGGCACCGACUCCAGGAAACGGCUGAACGCCGUCGAGAAACGUCCUCCCCCUCUCCGUCUCUCCGCUGGGGAAAUAAAUCGUGGCCAUGGCCGUUUUGUUUGGAUUAAACUAACGAGAUAAGGUGUUAAUUACUUGCUGCUAAGCUGAUUUCUUUUACUGUUGGAGUCGUUUCUUUGUUUCCUCUGGUCCUGCAAGCUGGCUGCAUAUUGAACACACGGAAGAGGCAGAAACAUCCUGCAGUGGAAGAGAAAUAACCUCCGUUCUCAUCAUUUCAGUCCAACGUUCAAGACGGAAAUAUCUAAUUAUUUUCCCUAAAGUUCAGGAGAGACUUUAGCUUCGGGUCAUAAUGUAAAACCAGACUCCCUCAAGUCUAAACAAUCACCGAAUCUGAAUAAUUCAUCACAUCAACUUUGGCAUCUGUACAUUAUUAAAUAACAAAUGUAAUAUUUAUAAAGUCAGGUAGAAAUGUUAAUGAGUCUACUAAAAAAUUUACCUGCUUCAUUAAAGUUAAAGUGUGCAGUGAAUGUGACAGAUUGACAAGAUAAUAGACAUCUUUGUUUAAAACGGGGCAGCGUGUGAGAGCUGUAGGUAGUCAGUAUCUUACCUGGAAUGGAAAGCCGUAUUUAAAACGCCAUUUGUCUGUAAUUUCCUGAUUAUGUUUUAUUCUGCUUUUGCUCAGACACUCCACGUGCAUUAUUACCACGUAUCCGACCUACAUUUUAAGAAAUUUAAAACUUUCACCUCUGUGCCACUAUGGUUACUUACAAAUGGAAUCAUUUACAGGCUGAAAACAGGUGGUUUCUCCAAUAGAUUUAACUGAUUUAACUUGUAUGUAGAGUUGGAACAUUUUUAUAAUUAAAUAAAACUACUCAAUUACCACAAAAGAAGCAUUAAAAACAGAGAAGGGUUUGUUUGGAGGUACAAAAUAGCAGAUUGUGGUUUCUAUCUAUUACGCUCUUCGUUGUGCUCCAUUAAAUCUUGACUCAGAGGUGCCUUUCGCUCUGUUCCUUGUACGAUGUAUGUAUAGUAUGAGUCAGAACGCAGCUGUCUGCUGUCCUCACGUUGGCUUUGUCUUUCAGGUCCAACGUCAACUACGUCCCCCCACCCCAAGAACCCCAGGAUUUCAAACACACUCAAUCGUUCAUGCUCUGAGAAGAUGGCUCUCCUUCGACGGAGAAUAAAUCCCCCCUCCUGUGAUGAGGUGCCAACAAUGGAUUCAGAUCCAUUUCCCCGCUUUUGAUCUUCCAGCAAACACCAAACUCGAUCCUGGCUUUGUUUUGAUUUUGAUCUUUGAUUACAUCUUGCUUUUUGUGCUGUUCACUUUUGCCCAUCAAAAUCCUCUUUUCUUACGGGACUUAAAGCAGCGCUGUGGUGCUCUGCUGCCCCCUGCUGGUUACAUCUCGAAAGUGAUCCUCUGACUUGACUGUUUUGUUUUUUUUUUAAACCAAAGACUGAUGUUUAAUUCAAGUGACUUUUAUUUCUGUUUUAGAAACUGAAUCUAAGGGGAAUCUUCUGAAGCCAUACUGAACUAUUUCAGUUGUUUCCAGACAACUCAGACUUAAAUACAGCUUACCUCCAGUCAGUAUUUUGUCUUCUGUCUCAGGCCCAAACACCAUUAAAAUUCCCAUAUCAUGAUCUUAGUAAAACCAGGAGGAAUAAGUUUGACUCGUUCAACUUGAGACCAACCCCCUUCCGUCCUGAUGUGCCUGCAUGGUCUUCUUUGAUAAAUGUAUACAUAAAUUAUCUACAGUAAACCUUGUGCCUUUUUAAUUUCACAGUCAUAUCGAUCUCGGGAUCACGCUUUUUUGUAAACAAACUUGCCUUACUUUUCUGUCUUUAUACAUAUCUAUCUAUUCUCGUGCCACUGUUUAUCGAAUGACGUGUGGAUGACUAUACAGAGUUUUAUUUGAAUGAAUCAAUAAAAGUUUUUCUCUUUUUCUA